GUCACGAUACAGAGCUGCGCUCGUAAAAAGUCGCUUUAUUCCGCCGUUAUUCGUUUGUGCUGGCGCUUCUGCAACAAAUGGUGGAAGGAGGAAUGGUGCACAAAGAAAUUGACAUUGCUGUGGUUGCACUCAGCAAAAGCGGUUCCUGCUUGAGGAAAGUGAAACCGUGAUGUAAGUGUGAGUGUAAAUAAUUUUUAGGUUGCAGGUGACGUUGCAAACUGAUGCGAUUGGAUGGAUUCCAAGUUCACUUGUUUCUGCGCGCCAUUACGACCGACGGCCGAAUUUCAGAUAGAUUUCUUGGGCCGUUUUUCAGAUUUUCGCAAUUGUUUUCUGUAAACAGCUGACCGGAUGUAUUGUUGGUUGCCUAACUGAGUGAAGUUCAAGAAAAAUAAUAAAAUGUGUGCACUGACGCAAUUAAACAACGUAAUUGAUUUUGUUUUUGCGUUUGCUACAAUUUUACAGAAUUUUUACUUUAUUAGUGUUUGAAAAUUUGAAACAGGUUACAUUAUAAGUAUGUAUUAUUCUUUAGCAAUUAUUAUUAUAGUAUAAAAAUCGUUCUACUAUACAAAACAUAAAAUAUGUGUUUGGAGUUUUAGCUUUUACCACUAGUAACUUAAAAUAGUAUGUGAUCUUUAAAAGCAGUUGUAAGAUUAUAAGUUUACCUACUAGAAGUAGUUUAGAAAGUGUAGUUCCGUUGUAAAUGUAAUAAUUACAAUAAUAUACGGAAGUGCAGCACAUUAUGGUUGGUUCUAGCAUGUUAGAGUAUUAAUGUGUAAAUAAUUAAUGAUUUCUGCAGGUGCAAAGUUGAAAAACAGUAACAUUUCUGCCAGUAGAAAUAAAAAAACAUAUAUAUACAAAUAUUCAUUAUGUUAAUUUUUAUUUUGUGUAAUUUCCUGUUAUUUUUAUUUUAGUUCUUAUUCGUAUGACCAUUACAAAUAGGAUACUUAGCUUAUACGAACAUUUUUAUAUAUUUAUAUGUAUUUUUUCUUUUUAGUAAAGCUGCAGUGUUUUUUAUUGAGAUAUUGCGAAUGUAUUGUAAUUAAAGUGUUUAAUUAAAAUUUUAUUAGAACAUAA